rnacentral:rRNA from 1 species
GAAUGUUGGACAAUGGGCGCAAGCCUGAUCCAGCCAUACCGCGUGGGUGAAGAAGGCCUUCGGGUUGUAAAGCCCUUUUGUUGGGAAAGAAAAGCAGUCGGCUAAUACCCGGUUGUUCUGACGGUGCCCACAGCAUAAGCACCGGCUAACUCUGUGCCAGCAACCGCGGUCAUACGUAGGGUGCAAGCGUUACUCGGCAUUACUGGGCGUAAAGCGUGCGUAGGUGGUUGUUUAAGUCUGUUGUGAAAGCCCUGGGCUCAACCUGGGAAUUGCAGUGGAUACUGGGCGACUAGAGUGUGGUAGAGGGUAGUGGAAUUCCCGGUGUAGCAGUGAAAUGCGUAGAGAUCGGGAGGAACAUCCAUGGCGAAGGCAGCUACCUGGACCAACACUGACACUGAGGCACGAAAGCGUGGGGAGCAAACAGG